UACCAGCACCCCGAGUGGUCGGGACGAUUAUUGGGCCUAAAGCAUCCGUAGCCGGUUCUACAAGUCUUCCGUUAAAUCCACCUGCUUAACAGAUGGGCUGCGGAAGAUACUAUAGAGCUAGGAGGCGGGAGAGGCAAGCGGUACUCGAUGGGUAGGGGUAAAAUCCGUUGAUCCAUUGAAGACCACCAGUGGCGAAGGCGGCUUGCCAGAACGCGCUCGACGGUGAGGGAUGAAAGCUGGGGGGAGCAAACCGG
rnacentral:rRNA from 1 species